rnacentral:rRNA from 1 species
GACGAACGCUGGCGGCGUGCUUAACACAUGCAAGUCGAACGGAAAGGCCCUGCUUGCAGGGUGCUCGAGUGGCGAACGGGUGAGUAACACGUGGGUGAUCUGCCCCUUACUUUGGGAUAAGCCUGGGAAACUGGGUCUAAUACUGGAUAGGACCAUGCUGUAGGUGGUGUGGUGGAAAGAUUAGUUUCGGUAAGGGAUGAGCUCGCGGCCUAUCAGCUUGUUGGUGGGGUAAUGGCCUACCAAGGCGUCGACGGGUAGCCGGCCUGAGAGGGUAGACGGCCACAUUGGGACUGAGAUACGGCCCAGACUCCUACGGGAGGCAGCAGUGGGGAAUAUUGCACAAUGGGCGCAAGCCUGAUGCAGCGACGCCACGUGGGGGAUGACGGCCUUCGGGUUGUAAACUCCUUUCAGCCAUGACGAAGCCCUUGUGGUGACGGUAGUGGUAGAAGAAGCACCGGCUAACUACGUG